AACCUAUUGAGAUAAAGAGAGGCAUGUGGAAUUCUAGAAGAGGAGAUAAGUGGUAGAAUUUACUUUAUAGCUCUUUAAGUCUCCAGGGAUCAUACAUAAAUCAAUGUCUAUUUAUCAAACACAUAUUUUGCUAUCUGUUAAGAAGGGAAAAGACUCCAGGCUCUUUUCAACCUCUGUAGGGAGGACUCAGUGGCAUAUCACUGCUCCACAUACAUGGCUCAUUGCUGGAAGAAGAGAUGAGCACUUACACACAGCAUGAUCAGGUUUGAACCCAGGACCCUGGUACAGAGAGUGAGGUGGGUAGACUGUGAACUAUGCUCUCCAUGACUCUUCCCUGGAUGUCUCCCUUCUUCCCUUAUUUCCUUUCACCCUUUUUGGGCUUUUUUGUUUGUUUAGUUUUGAUUUUGUUUUUUUGAGGCAGAGUCUUGCUAUGUAGUUCAGGCUGUCCUUGAACUCACUAUGAAUCCUAGGCUGACCUCGAACUCAGAAUGAUCCUCCUGCCUCAGCCUCCCAAGUGCUGGGACUACAGGCAUGUGCCACCACACCUGGCUCCUUUCACUGUUUAAUCUGUUGCAUUGAGCCAUCCACCCCAAACCCAUGAGGCUGCUCUUGUUAAGCUGUUAGUGACUUCUUCAAUGUAUUAUCCAAUGGAUUCCUAGAAAUAUUAAAUGAAAUGGCUUCCUUUCCCAUCUCAGUCUGCCCCAUUUUUAUACAGUGUUGACACUGUGAAUCCUUUGUUUUUCUUGAAAGGUUCUUUCUCUUUCACAUUUGUGACACCAACAUCCUUCAAAUUCUGAGGGGAAACCAGAGUGGCAAUUGAGAUGGUGGAAAUGGGCAAAGCUUCAGGAGGCAGACACCAUCUAGCCUGGCUUAGAAGUACAAGGAGUGAUUUCAUCAUCUGGUGAACAAGGCACCAACAUGCCUUCACCACCGCUCCUAGUUUAUUCUCUAAAAGAUGCAAGUAACUGAAAUAGCAUGUUGUUCUCUUUUUCUAGAAUUUCUGGGAACAGCUCAUGCCAGACAGCACAAAAGAAAAUAGGAAACAAAAUGCCUCUUCUGACCCACAACCUGGUCAGAUUUGGCUGGAGGACCUUUGUGGAUACUGAAAGAGCAGCAGAUAUUUUGGACCAAUGAAUAGAUUUGAUUCUGUAGGAAUAGUGAGGUAGAGGUAGGGAGUUGGACAAGCAGAUGUGGGGACCACAGAUAUCACAGAUCUAAAGGAUGGUAAAGUUAAAAGGAAUUUUAGAAUGCAGCUAGCUCAACCCAAUCAUUUCAUAGCUAUAAAAAGGACAGAGUACUUGCCAUGACCAUGGUCACCUGGUGAUAGAAGAAAUGUGAUUCACCUGAAAGAUACCUGGUCUAGGGCUACAUGGGGAGCAGGCCACUACCAUUUGAGGUUCCACUAUCCUGGGACAAAAGUAAAAGAAAGAAUAGAUUGAAGGAUUUUUAAGAAUGAGCUUGCUUCGUGGGUCCUGAUACCAAUCAGUAGUGGCUUCA
rnacentral:lncRNA from 1 species